rfam:Brochothrix phage BL3, complete genome.
UGAGAUAUGGCUCAAUGGUAGAGCACCGCACUGUUAAUGCGUAGGUUAUAGGUUCGAGUCCUGUUAUCUCAG